UCUCGUUGUGUCCAGAGACGCCACUGGGCUUGCUGCAAGACAGAAGUAACUUUUCACUGGGGAAAGGAAAGUGGUAGACAGAGCCGCUGUGAGAAGUGUAUCCAACAUCGUAUCUAGCUCCAGACCAGUCACAUGUCAGUCCUCAGGCCCUAAUCGCCCGUCCACCGUGUCUGAGACGUAACUGCAGCCGGAAGAUGAAUGGACCAGCUGACCCUGGCCCUGGGCCCUGGCCUCUGAUGGACUCUGCCCCCCACCUCCUCUGCCGCCCCGUUUCUUCUCUCCACCCCACCGGGCACAUCAGGCUCCAGACACCCGCCUCUGGUGGACCCUCAGUAACUACCCGCCAGAUGAAGGACAGGAUUGCCACUGCCUUUUGCAGCAGGCAGGUCCGAACUCUUCCCGGCGGCCUCACCUGGAUCUCAGCCUCCAACCAGCAGAGCGCUGGGCACCAGGUGGGGCAGCCGAUGAAGCUGGUCUUCUUGGGGGAUUUGUUGACAGCAUUUGAAAACAGCAAGUAAUGAUGACACGUACGUGAAAUGGACUAUUACGUCCCCAAGAAAAAUCUAAUUAAACGAGAAAAGUGUAUGUGGAAAAGCCACGUCCCACCCUGUGAACACCACGUGGCACCAUGUUAGGAAACACGCGAGUGAAGAGGUGACCAGCCUGCUGUUAGAAGUGACUGUCAAAGCUUCAUAAAUACACAUUUCUAUUAACCUUGGCUGUGCCAUUUCCUCUUUUCCCUGCUGGACGGAAAUGCCUCAGCUCAGGUUGAAUCAGGGGGAAAGGGGAGGCGCCCCCAAAUUCUCAAGUGCAUCCUCUAAUGACCUGGGACAUUCCUAAUCCCCACUGAGGCUCAUCAAUACAAAGGAAGUGCAUGUUGCCAACUCCCGUGAGUAGAAGGAAGGGGUCUGGGUGACCCUCCGUCCCUUCAUUUCCUGCCCACCUGGCAGCCUUCCAGCAGCAACAGCACCCCCGGUCCCUUCUGUUCCCUGGGCCACAGCCUUAUUCAGACAAGUUAAUCAGUGUUGCUUGUCCCACCCAGGUGACUGGGGUGACUGCUCAGGGCAAACCAACCCCCAGCUGCGUGUACACCCCCAGCACCACACAUGCACACACAACCUUGUCUGCUGUCACUCAAGAACAGCAUCAGAGCAUCAACCCUGACUCAGCCAGGGUGCCGCCUGGGUCCUGUCUGCCCUGCCCCCACCCUCAGUGUCCUCGCAUCUCAGCCUGACCUCCUGGUCCUCCGAGCAGUUCUGAUGGCCACCAGCAGCCCAGCACUCACCUCCACGUCAGGCUGCUUGACUUUCCUGCAGAGCGCUUCUCAAUAAUGCUCUUGUUCUUUUAUUUGUUCACUUGUCUGUUACUUAUUUGUGGUCUUCCCACUUUCCUCCAGGAGAAUUCAGGCCCCUAUCCCUGCCUAAGGAUGGUGUCUUUGCUGUGUGCAUGGCAGAACAGAAGGGAGGGAGGGAGGCAAGCAGGUGUAUUUCACAAGUGACACCAGAGCCCAGGAUGGAGCCUCCAGGGUGGGACUGCAUUGUACCCAACAAUGUAUGGGACCCAACACAGCCUCCAGCCUCCGUCCUGGCAUGUUUGACCACCAUUCCUGCACUCACCCUCAUCCCACUCGGAGAGGGACCCAACUGAACUAGCUCCAUUAUAAUCACGGAAAACCCGAAAUGUUACAAUUAAGGGCCCCCCAUCUGCCUCCACACCUAAGCCCCCCUCAAAAUUAGUCCUUGUCACUAUCUUUUUGCUGGCUUUCAAAAAUGCAUUUCAUAGAUAUUUGUUACUUUAUAAACCUAGAAAGUUGUUUAGUAAAAUUUUAAAAGCAUGCAUGAGGUAACACUCAUGGUUCUAAACUUUGCCGUGUUAACACAAUAGCUCUUUUCAGGUCAGCAUAUACACAUUUAUUUAAAUUGUUGCACAUGUAUUCUGUGGGAAUCAUACUUAGUGGUCCCACUAUUAAUGAGAUUUAAGCUGUUUUCGAUCAUUUGCUUAAAAUAAUGUACUUCCUGAAAAGAGAUGGAAACAGUGAGACAGAAAGACAUGGAUAACGUCGAAAAUUGGAAAACAUGAUAGGUAGAUGGAGAUAGUUUUGUUAGGCUGGUCAGUAAAUGCCUCUUAGCCAAGCAGAGAUCCCACGAAUCUGGAAGUAACUCUACAGCAAAUAUCCAGAUUGAAGCACAAAGAGAACCCAGAAUGAGAAAAGAACAGAGUUACACGUCUGAGGUCCGUGGGACAAUGUUAAACAGUCUGUAAAACUGGAAUCCAAUUUGAUGGAGAAAAGAGACAGAGGGAGGAGUAGAGGAAAUAUCUGGAGAAAGUAACUAAACCAUAGAUCAAAGCAGCUCAGAGCAGACGCAUCAGGAUAAGUGCCCCAAAGUCAAACAAACAAAUAAAACCAAACAAAAAAAUCCCUUAGCA
rnacentral:lncRNA from 1 species